UCCUCAGCAAACAAUGCAUCCUCUGAGG
rnacentral:piRNA from 1 species